rnacentral:rRNA from 1 species
GACGAACGCUGGCGGCGUGCUUAACACAUGCAAGUCGAACGGAAAGGCCCUGCUUUUGUGGGGUGCUCGAGUGGCGAACGGGUGAGUAACACGUGAGUAACCUGCCCUUGACUUUGGGAUAACUUCAGGAAACUAGGGCUAAUACCGGAUAGGAGCUCCUGCUGCAUGGUGGGGGUUGGAAAGUUUCGGCGGUUGGGGAUGGACUCGCGGCUUAUCAGCUUGUUGGUGGGGUAGUGGCUUACCAAGGCUUUGACGGGUAGCCGGCCUGAGGGGGUGACCGGCCACAUUGGGACUGAGAUACGGCCCAGACUCCUACGGGAGGCAGCAGUGGGGAAUAUUGCACAAUGGGCGGAAGCCUGAUGCAGCAACGCCGCGUGCGGGAUGACGGCCUUCGGGUUGUAAACCGCUUUCGCCUGUGACGAAGCGUGAGUGACGGUAAUGGGUAAAGAAGCACCGGCUAACUACGUG